AUUGAACGCUAGCGGCAGGCCUUACACAUGCAAGUCGAACGAGUGGCGGACGGGUGCGUAAUAUGUCGGAAUGUGCCCAGUAGCGGGGGAUAACUACUCGAAAGAGUGGCUAAUACCGCAUUCUAUCGGAGCCGCCGAGAGGGGAUUAGCUAGUAGGUGGGGUAAAGGCUCACCUAGGCGACGAUCCCUAGCUGGUCUGAGAGGAUGACCAGCCACACUGGGACUGAGACACGGUCCAGACUCCUACGGGAGGCAGCAGUGGGGAAUAUUGCACAAUGGGCGCAAGCCGGAUGCAGCCAUGCCGCGUGUAUGAAGAAGGCCUUAGGGUUGUAAAGUACUUUCAGCGGGGAGGCGUUUCCAGCAGAAGAAGCACCGGGUAACUCCGUGCCAGCAGCCGCGGUAAUAC
rnacentral:rRNA from 1 species